rnacentral:rRNA from 1 species
GCAACUGACGCUGAAGCUCGAAAGUGCGGGUAUCGAACAGGAUUAGAUACCCUGGUAGUCCGCACGGUAAACGAUGGAUGCCCGCUAUUCGCUCGAAUGAGUGAGUGGCCAAGCGAAAGCAUUAAGCAUCCCACCUGGGGAGUACGCCGGCAACGGUGAAACUCAAAGGAAUUGACGGGGGCCCGCACAAGCGGAGGAACAUGUGGUUUAAUUCGAUGAUACGCGAGGAACCUUACCCGGGCUUGAAUUGCAGGAGAACGAUACAGAGAUGUUGAGGUCCUUCGGGACUCCUGUGAAGGUGCUGCAUGGUUGUCGUCAGCUCGUGCCGUGAGGUGUCGGCUUAAGUGCCAUAACGAGCGCAACCCCUGUUCUUAGUUGCCAUCAGGUAAUGCUGGGCACUCUGGGAAUACUGCCACCGUAAGGUGUGAGGAAGGUGGGGAUGACGUCAAAUCAGCACGGCCCUUACGUCCGGGGCUACACACGUGUUACAAUGGCCGGUACAGAGAGUUGGUCGUGCGCAAGUACGGUCUAAUCCAUAAAACCGGUCUCAGUUCGGACUGGGGUCUGCAACCCGACCCCACGAAGCUGGAUUCGCUAGUAA